UCAACGGCCCUUUUAAGGGCCACCCACACUUUCAAGGAAAGAGCAG
rfam:Anolis carolinensis unplaced genomic scaffold chrTn0274, whole genome shotgun sequence.